GUUGGGCUCUGUUCAUUCAGUCAGAAAUAUUUCACAACUUUCACUUUUGAAUCUGCCUGCGCUGCACUAGCCAUCUGACACCCCCACAAUCAGCAUGAGGCCCCUCUGUUGGUCUGUUGGGGGGUUAGAGUAAAAGCUGUGACCCUCACCCCCGGACCAGCCAGUGACCCCCACGCCUCACACACAACCAGUCAGUCAAACUGAAUCCCAAGGGGGGCCGCAGUGUUCGUGGGUUUUUGUGAUUUCCUUUCAAUCAGCAGUCAAUCAAUGCCUUGAGAACAAGGUGUGUGGAUUCAUUAUAGCCAAUCAAUGGCUUAAAUUAAACACUUGUGCCGACAACACCCCAAGAACCAGAAGACUCUGCUGCCCUCCAGGACUGGAGUCAUCUCAGCCCCCCCUGCCCAAUCACGUGAGCGGCUCACCGCAGACAGGAACCUUUCCUCUCCGGCUGUGUGUUUCAGAGGGGAAGGCCAGGACUGAUGCACAACCUGUGUUUAGCAGGUGCUAUCUGUGGACUGAAUACAGAGCUACCGGCUGUGCAUUGUCAAGAGGUGUGAAGUCCGGGGAUCAGGAAGUAAAAGUCCUGCCAUGUGUUUCUGCCACCCAUGAACUCAGCCAACUGAUUUCACUCAUUAGUUCUACAGCCUGGCUGAAGAAUUGUGUUAACGAGCAAAUCCAGGUGAUUGGACCGGAGACAGCAGGCAUGUGGCAGAUGGUGCCGGAGAACGAAUCAGAGAGCAGAGGAUCCCAGCGGCACGGAGACCAGGUCAGAGCGCCUGUGCUGGAGAUACUCGCCAUGUUCAUGUGAGCGAGCUGCUGGGGGGGCGGGGCGGGGGGGGGGCGCUGUAAUUGAUGGGACUGAGUGUUCACACGGACGUUAAAUGAAAUUACCCCAGGGACAGCUUGUGAUUCUGGUCUUUGGAAAUAAAGUCAACUGCAGUGAAUAUUAAUUAUCAGUUAAUUGCAAUUACAAUUAUGUCCUUCUGUAAGCUCGAUUGAUCACCUGCGUCUAAUUCACCUGAAUUCUAAAAUUCAUAAUUGAUGUGAGAGAAGAUGGGGUAUCAGUCAAUUCACAUACAUUUGCACAUACACACACACACACACUCAUACAUGUAUGAACGUAGACACAUACACAUGCACACACACACACACUCACACACAUAUACACAGACUCUUACACACACACACACACAUAUACACAGACUCAGACACACACAUGCGCACACACACGUGCGCACACACUCACACACAUGCACUCACACACACACACACACACACUCUCUCUCUCACACACACACAGACUCAGACACACACAUACACUCUAACAGACACACACUCACACACACGCUCACACACACACACGCCCUGCUGUUUGGGAGGCUGGCGGUGUAAGUGUUUUGCUGAGGGAGGGGAACAGCGGGAAGGGGGCGGAGCCUCUGGGAUUCUGAUGAUGCAGCACAGCCCCAGGGCUCCACUGUCUGGGAGACAUCGAUCCACAAAAUAUAUAAUAGGAUAUCGAGCGAGACAGAACAAAGAUUCAAUUAGCACUGACUGUGUUAUUUAACUACACAUUCUCACGAGAGGGAGAGAGAGAGAGAGAGAAAAAGAGCGACAGAGAAAACCUUUGAAAAUGCUGUAGAUUGUGGGGUCAUGAAGAACACCUUCUAUUUGCAUUUGAAUUUGAAAUAUGAGAGAAUAUGUGAGAGAAAUAAAUCAAAAGAUUGAGGAAGAAAUAGAGACAGACGAGUAUAAGUAUAAAGACAACAUUCAUAUUAUCUUACUUUCCUCACAGUGUGGAAUGGAACAGACCUGGAGAUCAGUGUUAGGAACAGUCCUGGAGAUCAGUGUUAGGAACAGUCCUGGAGAUCAGUGUUAGGAACAGUCCUAGGGAUCAGUGUUUGGAACAGACCUGGAGAUCAGUGUUUGGAACAGACAUGGAGAUCAGUGUUUGGAACAGACAUGUAAGAUCAGUGUUAAGAACAGUCCUGGAGAUCAGUGUUUGGAACAGACAUGGAGAUCAGUGUUAGGAACAGUCCUAGGGAUCAGUGUUUGGAACAGACAUGGAGAUCAGUGUUCGGAUGGUAUCAGGAACUCACCUCCCAGCCCAGAGUUACUAUAAAUCAGUGGUUAUCAAACUUGGUCCUGUGUAUGCUGGCUUUUGUUCCAAACACAACAUUUGCAAUUUCUGAAUUUUAACAGGCCGUUAAUUUUUCUUAAUUGUGACAUUUUGAAUUAACUUCAUUAUUAUUAUUAUUAUUAUUAUUGUUGUUGUUGUUGUUGUUGUUAUUGUUGUUAUUAUUAUUAUUGUUAUUAUUGUUAUUAUUAUUGUUGUUGUUGUUAUUAUCAUUAUUAUUGUUGUUAUUAUUAUCAUUAUUUAUUGUUGUUGUUAUUAUUAUUAUUAUUAUUAUUAUUAUUGUUAUUAUCAUUAUUAUUAUUAUUAUUAUUAUCAUUAUUAUUAUUAUUGUUAUUAUUAUUUACUGUGCAUCAGGUGCAGUAAACCCAAAACAUCAAUGCUAUAUUUUACCCAUACCGUUAUGGCCAAAAGCUGUGUUUUUUAAGCUUUGCUUAUUUUAUUAUUCUGGUUUUCCGUGCAAAAGAAGAAGGAAUGGUGA